AUCCACAGCCAUAUCACCCUGCAGCCCAGGACUGGUUGCCCACUGAAGCCAAGCAGGGUUGAGCCUGGUCAGUACCUGGAUGGGAGACCUCCUGGGAAAACUAGGUUGCUCUCGUUU
rnacentral:rRNA from 1 species